ACACUGCUGUUGUAGUGGUUUCAUGCAAGAUUCCCGUUCUUGCCACCCGGGUUCGAUUCCCGAGUCGUGCA